rnacentral:rRNA from 1 species
UACGGAGGGUGCAAGCAUUGAUCGGAAUUAUUGGGCGUAAAGGGCGCGUAGGCGGGAUUGUAAGUCAGAUGUGAAAUUCCGAAGCUCAACUUCGGAGCUGCAUUUGAAACUGUGAUUCUAGAGGAUUGACGGAGAAAACGGAAUUCCACGUGUAGCGGUGAAAUGCGUAGAUAUGUGGAAGAACACCUGUGGCGAAAGCGGUUUUCUAGUUUAUACCUGACGCUGAGGCGCGAGAGCAAGGGGAGCAAACAGG